rnacentral:rRNA from 1 species
AUGGUCAGCUGGCCUGAUAUUUGCAAGCCCAGGGAGCAGGGUGGCCUGGGCAUCAUGUGCUCUAAAAGGAUGAAUAUUGCCCUUCUCUCCCGUUGGCUUUGGCGCAUCACGCAGGGUCAAGGUGGACUAUGGCUCGAAGUUAUCCGGAAUAAAUACCUGCGGGGUCAACCCCUUGCCUUCUGCCAGAAAUCGGGCGGUUCUCAGUUCUGGCAGUCUAUUGUCCGGCUUCUCCCGGUGCUUCGCAUUGGAACCUCCAUUUCGGUGGGGUCUGGCCUCUCGAUGCUCUUCUGGUUUGAUCGCUGGGCCGGAGACUCUCCCUUUGCAGCCCGCUUCCCCACCCUCUUCUCUAUCUCCGUCGACCCCAUGAUUUCUGUCGAUAGGGCCCUUCUUGACUUAGGGCGCCUUGCUUUCCGUCGGCCCUUUGGGCCGGCGGAAUCCGCCGCCUGGCGUGAGUUGCUUGAUUGCGUUGCUCUGCAUAGGCCGUUGGUGGAUGGGAGUCAGGACCUUGUGCGCUGGCGUCUGGAGCCGUCGUGCCAGUUCUCUACCAAGUCGCUGUACAUGGCCAUUGCCCCCUCCUCCGCCCCCUCCCCCUAUCGAUGGUGUGGUCCGUCCGCGUUCCUCUGA